AAAACACUCUCGUAAAUUAAAUAUUUCAAUUACGUAUGCGUUGAUGAAAGCAUACUUUAUCUUGAUAUAAAUUUGAUUGCUUUAUCAAGUCUUCCUCCACAGAUUCCUCGUUGCCAUUGUACUGACUCUACUUCAUCUUCUUCUUCGGGGGAAGAACGGGAAGUGGAAGAUGGUAAAAUUGGACAAGUAGGAGAAGAGAAAUCUUUUGGUUGUGGGUUGAGAAAUAAUCCCUCGAAAAGUUUCAGACUUGCUGAUCCUGAGUUUUCUUUUGCUGUAGAAUCUGUGUCUGAUGUUGCUCAAGACAGAGAGUGAGGCCGAGUCAACUCGAGACGAUCUAAAAGAACGAGAGAAAAGAAUGGGUGUGUAUUUGGCUUUUUCAAAAUUAAGGGUGAGUACGUAAUGUCAAAAAACAUUGGGUGAAAACAGUGCUUUGCCCGUGUUUCAAUUCUACUUAGGACUCCCGUGAGCCCCUUCUCCAACUCUAAUGCCUCGUUUCAGGCUAUGGCGAAGCGCCUAAACGACGCCGUACACAAGCUCCAACUCUCGUUACUCGAAGGCGUAUCCACUGAUUACCAGCUCUAUACCACCGGCUCGCUCCUUUCCAACAGCGACUACAACGACGUGGUAACGGAACGAACAAUCGCGAACCUCUGUGGCUACCCGCUCUGCUCGCAUCCCCUGCCGCCGUCGGAUUCUUGAAAACACAAAGGGCGGUACCGCAUCUCGCUGAAGGAGCACAAAGUGUACGACCUCCAGGAGGUGUACUUGUUCUGCUCCACGAGUUGUCUGGUGAACAGUAAGGCAUUCUUGGCGGGUUUGGGGGAGGCGAGGGUUAGGGUUGUGGACGAGAGGACGAUUGAAGAGGUUUUGAAGGUGGUUGGCGCAGAGAGUGCUGUGGAGAGUGAGGUGGUGAGGAAGUUUGGGGAGCUGGAGAUAAGGGAGAAGGAUAGGGGGGAAGGUGAAGUUGGGGAAGUUGGAGCUGGGCCUUCAGAUGCUGUUGAAGGGUUCGUUCCGAAGGCCAAGUAUAAGCCAAAGACGAGAAAGGUCAAAAGGGAAAAGAAUGAAGGAGGAGGUUUGGUUGGAGAAUCUUGAAUGAGGGUCAAGUCCACCAUGUGUGCUCCCUCGACGGACUGCAAAGUUAUAAUUUUUUUCAUUCGUGAUCAAUAUAUAUGAUUAUUUAUAUACUAAUUUUAAAUACUCGAUACUUCAAUCUGGAUGGUCUCAGAAACGUUCUCCUGCAAGUCCUCCUUCAGUGAUCUAAUAUCCGCUGUCAUUUUGCGUGAGCUCGGGAGAUCAGCAAGUAACCAUAGUCGCUCGUCUUGAAAAAAAAAAGACAAAAUAUCAUUAAAUAAACAUUAUAAUUGGGAAGAUAAAUCGAUUAAUGACAUUUCUUAAAAAAACAUAACCUCAACUUCUGGGAAAGGUGUUCAGGGAGAACCCUUGAUCGAUGAAAUCUCAAUGUGGGUUUCCUACACGCAUGAAAAGAAUAAAAUGGUAAAUGAUAUGUAGAUAUAAAAUAUAAUAUCUACAUUAAUUUUCAUACCUCAAGUGGAUGAUUUGAAGCAAUUGAAGAUCCGAUCGAAAGACCUUCAUAAGGAAGACUCUAUACGAAUAUAUAAAAUAAAUUAAUCGAUAACAAAACAAUCAUAAAAAUAAAGUUUCAUUGAUAAGUGAUAUGUCUCAGUUUGAACAGGUGAUGUAAUAGAAGGACCAAUUGGUGUCCUCUCUUGGGGACUACCCUAAGGGAAUAAUAAUAAUAACUUAAUCAGUAACAUUUCAUAUAUAAUAAUAUUAUAAUAUAAUAACAUUUAAUAUUAAAUAUAAUUUUGAAAUUACAUACGGAUCUUAUUUGGCUGAUGGGAUGGUAUUGCUGUAUCAACGGGGGCGAUCGUCUCGAGAUUAUCGUCCAUCUCUUGUACGAAUAUAAUUAUAGUUAUCAGAAUAAUAACGAAAUAUAAUUUUUAUAAGUAAUAAAUUAGAAAUGGUUUGACAACCUGAACGACGGGGGCUGCACAUGUACGCGUGACGAAGUCCUCUAAACGAGUCAUACGAUCUUGUAAUCGAGCCACAUUGUCGCGUAAUUGAGUCAUAUGUAAAUCCACAUCGUUGCAUAAUCAAGUCAUCUAUGAAGACAUCGUCAAAAAAACUUGAAAUCUCACGUAAAAUCGUAGCACCCCAGUGCGCCAAUGUAGCAUCUAAUGUGAAAAUACUAGGUGAUACGGAUGAGGGACACUGCUUGGUGGCAUGAUGGGAAGUACAGUCCUCCAUUCCAGGAUGGUCUGUGGUCAGUGAGCAUUGAACUAUAUGGGAACAUAGAGGCUGCUCUAUAACAGGAGGUUGAAUAGGCUCCUCAUAUGUCUCAAAAGUUUCGAUGGGUAAAUCUGAAGGUCUUGAGGUUGGUGAAGCCUCGUCUCCUGUCGCGAGAGGAAUCGAAGAUGAGGAGGAAUCAACAUCAGGUAAACCGGUGUACUCGCGAAUCUCAGCAUACCAUGGUAAACUCUCCUCCAUCGGUGAUGGACGAAGGGGGAAUGUGACAUCCUCUUAAUGAUUAAAAUAUAUAAGUUAAAAUAAUUACAACAUUCAAUGAAUUAAUUGAUUUAUUAAUUAACGAGUACAUACCGGAUCACCAGUGAAAAUACGACCUAUAUGAGUCCAAUUAAAGACGUUCUAUGUAUAUCACCUAAACAUCCGUGGGGACGCAUAGAUAUCAAUAAGGUCAAUCCAAUCGUAUAAGGUAUCCAGCGUCUUGUAUACCUAAAACUGUAAACCAUUAAUAAUUUAAAUAGAUCAAUUCGUAUUUUUGUCAAUUAAUAUAUAUAGUCAAUAAAUUAAAACUUACCUGAAAUGUGAAAAGAAAUCUGUAUAGGUCGUAUUUACACAUUUUAGGCAUCCGUUCAUAGCACACUCUGUCACUCGCUUAUGACAGACUCGUACGUCAUCUGUCAUACAAGAAUGCCUCAAGGGUAGUUGUUAAACCUGUCUAGAUGAUCGACCAACUGUAAGUAUUCUAUUGAUACUUUCUUUCGUCGAUCAUUCCCUAACAACACCAUGUGAAGAAUAUAUAGCAAGAUCAUCUUGACGGCGUCAAUAUCGUCAUUCCCCCAUGGUUUGACCAAGAAAACACGCUCUAUGUCGUGAUACUGCUUCUUUGGACAAUCUCGAAAGUACAUAUCUCUGAUCCUAUAUCCGAAGGUACAACAUCACGACAUAAAAAAAUCAAUUGAAAAUCUGAAAAUAUGAAUCGAUAUAUUCUGAAAGGGUAAAAGUUGUACUUUCGUUCGAAUGUGCAGUAUCACGACAGAACGAAUUUUCUUGUCUAGGUCGUGGGGGGAUGACGAUAUUGACGCUGUCAAGAUGGCUUUGCUAUGUAUUUUUCACAUGGUGUUGUUAGGGAAUAAGCAACGAAAGAAAGUAUCCACGAAAUACUUACAGUUGGUUGAUCAUCUAGACAGGUUUAACAACUACCCUUGAGGCAUUCUUGUGUGACAGAUGACGUACGAAUCUAUGUCAUAAGCGAGUGACAGAGUGUGCUCCGGACAGAUGCUUGAAAUGCGUAAAUACGAUUCAUACGGAUUUUCUUUCGUAUUUCAGAUAAGUUUUAAUUUAUUGAUUAUAUAUAUAUUAAUUGACAAAAGUACAAAUUGAUUUAUUUAAAUUGUUAAUGGUUUACAGUUUUGGGUAUAUGAGACGCUGAAUACCUUGUACGAUUAGGUUGACCUUAUUGAUAUCUAUGCGUCCCUACGGAUGUUUACAUGGCGUACACGGAACAUUCUUAGUUGGGCUCAUAUAGGUCGUAUUUUCAUUGGUGAUUCGGUAUGUAUUCGUUAAUAAGUCGAUUAAUUCAUUGAAUGUUGUAAUUAUUUUUACAUAUAUAUCUUCAUCAUUAAGAGGAUGUCGCAUUUCCCCUUCAUCCAUCACCGAUGGAGGAAGGUUUACCAUGGUAUGUUGAGAUUCGCGAGUGCACAAGUUUACCCGAUGUUGAUUCCUCCUCAUCAUCUUCGGUUUCUCUCGCGACAGGAGACGAGCUUCUCUAGCCUUAAGACCUUCAGAUUUACCCAUCGAGACUUUUGAGAUAUAUGAGAAGCCUAUUUAACCUCCUGUUAUGGAGCAGUUUCUAUGUCCCCUUAUAAUUCAAAGCUCACUGACCACAGACCAUCUUGGAGUGGAGGCCUGUACUUCUCAUCAUGCCACCGAGCAGUGUCCCCUAUUCGUAUCACUCAGUAUUUUCACAUUAAAUGUUACAUUGGCGUACUGGGGUGUUACGAUUUUACGUGAGUUUUAUUGACGAUAUGUCUUCACAGAUGACUUAGAUUAUGCGACGAUAUGGAUUUACAUAUGACUCGAGUACGCGACGAUGUGGCUCGAUUAUAAGAUCGUAUAACUCGUUUAGAGGACUUUGUCAUGCGUACAUGUGCAGCCCCGUCGUUCAGGUUGUUAAACUAUUUCUAAUUUAUUACUUAUAAAAAUUGUAUUUCGUUAUUAUUCUGAUAACUAUAAUUAUAUUCGUACAGGAGAAGGACGACCUUUUUCAUUGAUACUGUAAUAGCAUCCCGUCAACCAUAUGAGGUCCAUAUGUAAUAACAAAAUUAUAUUUAAUGUUAAAUGUUAUUAUAUUAUAAUAUUUUUAUGUAUGAAAUAUCACUGAUUAAGUUAUUAUUAUUAUUACCUUAGGGUAGUCACCAGGAGGGGGCACCGAUUGACCUUCUGUUACAUCACCUGUCCGAAUUGAGGCAUAUAAUUUACCGAUGAAACUUUAUUUUGAUGAUUGUUUUAUUAUCGAUUAAUUCAUUUUAUAUAUUCGUAUAAGGUCUUCCUUAUGAAGAUCUUUCAAUCAAUCUCUGGUUGCUUCAAAUCAUGCACUUGAGGUAUGAAAAUUAUUGUAGAUAUUAUAUUUUAUAUCUACAUAUCAUUUAUCAUUUUGUGCUUUUUAUGCAUGUAGGGGUCGACAUUGAGAUAUCAUCGAUUGAGGGUUUUCCUGAACACCUACCUUGUAAGUUGAGGUUAUGUUUUUUUUUUAAAUGUUAUUAAUCGAUUUGUCUUUGUAAUUAUAAUGUCUAUUUAAUGAUGUUUUGUUUCUUUUUAGGACGAGCCACUAUGAUUACUUGCUGAUAUCCUAAACUCGAAUAAAAAGACAUUGGAUAUUAGUUCACUGGAGGAGAAUUUUCAGAAGAACGUUUUUGAGACUAUCCAAAUUGAGGUAUCGAAUAUUUAAAAUUAGUAUAUAAAUAUUUAUAUAUAUUGGUCACGAAUGAAUAAAAUUAUAACUUUGCAGUUUGUCGUGGGAGCACAUACGAUGGACUUGACCCUCAUUUAGGAUUCUCCUGCCAAACCUCCUCCCGGAUACAUGGAGAAGGUAACAUUAAUCGAUUAAUGUAUAAUUGUUACGUAGGAUGAAAUAACGAAUUAUUAGUUUCUUGAAACUUUCAGUUGAUUUGUACAGCACACCGUUGGAUCGUUCGGAAGGGUCCGUUAGUUCGCAGCUGGUAUAUAAAUCCACUCAGAGGGAGGGCAAAAUGGUAACUCAAGACCAUUCCAUCCACUGUCUCAGAGCAUGACGACUCUUUCCUUACGUGGUACACCAGAACUGCGGCUUCGGCUUUCGACGCACAUGAUGUUUACUUCAUCGGGUUAAAGUCGAAGGACAGUUUUUGACAGCUUGUGGUAGAUUUGUGUCAGUGGUUGAUCGACAAUCAUGUAGAUUCCUUUUCGGCUAUAUUACGUUGGCAUUAGGACGAUCAUUGUGCGACUGUUGCACAACGUUGGACGACUGUUCACACAUUCUUCGGAGGCCAUAUUCUGAUGCCUAGAAGAGUUGGCAGACCACACCAUAUGAGGAGUUUGAAUUUUUGACAUUUUUCACAAGGAUGGUUGAGGCAGCGUACACCCCGGAGUUGUUUUACAAACCAUAGGGGAUGUGCGAUAAAGUAUAGUAUAUAUGUAUUUUCAUAACAUUUUACGUUGAAUUAGUUGAUAAUCAAUUGUAUUUUGUCACUGUUUAUAGGUUUACAUUCUUAUAAACUUCGAUUGUACACAUUAG